UACAGAGGUCUCAAGCGUUGUUCGGAUUCAUUGGGCGUAAAGGGUGCGUAGGCGGUGUCGUAAGUCGGAUGUGAAAUCCCGGGGCUUAACUUCGGAACUGCAUUCGAUACUGCGAUACUUGAGGACUCGAGAGGAGAUUGGAAUUCACGGUGUAGCAGUGAAAUGCGUAGAUAUCGUGAGGAAGACCAGUGGCGAAGGCGGAUCUCUGGAGAGUUCCUGACGCUGAGGCACGAAGGCCAGGGGAGCAAACGGG
rnacentral:rRNA from 1 species